UCACCCAGCAGAAGGGAAAGGUCCCUGAAGGGCAGCUGGAGAAGAAGGAACGGAGGCAGGAGAAGAAAGCUCGGGAACAAGAAGUGUGGCUUGGGGUGGGCAGGAGGGAGGGAGUGAAAUGUUUAAUGUAUGCUUAGAUAAAUACAGAUGGAGACUUGUGUGCAUGUCUACACUUUCAAACACCCAUUCGGAGCAAGCAGCCGCACGCUUCAAGUUGCACCAUGCACUCAGUCUCGGGUUGGCCCCGAUUGUGUGCAGGGAGGUUGAGGCUUUGUGCUAGUUGUGCAUUUUGAUAUGCAGCAGUCAAGGGUUUUGCAGGUUGUCUGGCUUGGCUAGUUGAUCAGUGGAUCAAAAUGGAUGCGAUUGAGGGCAGUGUGUAAGGUUGUCGAGCAGUUCUCAGCGUUAGCGUAGAAAUGCAGAUUUGUGCUCGAUUCUGUUUGUGGUUUGGCUGUAGCUUGCUUAGGAUGUACUUUGUGAGGCCAAUUGGAGGCUGUUUGUGGUGUAAUGUGUUUGUGUCUGUAAGUUAAGGCUCUGUGAGUAUUUUAAAGUGUUUAACCUCCAGCUCCACAGAGACAAAGAUCUUGUACUGUGUCCAAAGGAUCCUAAAGGUAGUUGGCAUGGCCAGCGUCAAAACCGGUAGGAGCAAAUGGGCCUAAGAUGUGCACAGUCAAAUAAUAAACGGUGUAAGAAACUUCAUCUCAUGGCUGGUGCUUUUCUACACUGAGAUCUGGCCACGGGCCUUUCCUGUUGAGAGCUGGCUGAAGGAUGGACUUUUUCAUUCAGUCUGCCGAUCCAAUCUGUGUUUUUACUUGUGUAAUGCAAGUAUUUUCCCUUCUGAUGGACCAGUGGUGAAAGAGUGUGUAACACGUGGGUCCUAGUCUUCGGUUUACAAUGCACUCUAGGAAAUCAGUCCUGAUUUAUUUGAGGAACUGAAAAAUAAGGUCCAGUGAAGUUGUGGUGCUUGGGUAUAAUCUGUUGAAGUUCAGCUGUCCCUUGUCUCAAAAGAAAAAAUGGUCCCAAUAAAAAUAAAAUGCUCUGGAGACCUAUGA